AAAAUAGUGAUAUCAAGCAAAUCUCAAAAAAUCGUUCUCAGUUCGGAUUGUAGUCUGCAACUCGACUACAUGAAGUCGGAAUCGCUAGUAAUCGUAGAUCWGCUACGCUACGGUGAAUACGUUCUCGGGUCUUGCUACACACCGCCCGUCACACCAUGGGAGCUGGUAAUGCCCGAAGUCGGUUUG
rnacentral:rRNA from 1 species